GUAGUGUUUCAUCUUGGCUCUUUUUAUUGAAGACUCAGGAUCUGUGCAAUAACGUUCCAUAGGGUCUCAGAGCCCGGGAAAACGUUGAACGAUAUCGAGGCAGGCUCUGGCUGAAACACUUUAUCGCUUUUGGCAAGUGGCCACUCAGAGUACUAUGGGCUUAGGCGUGUGCCCGCUUCGACCGAAUGGUUUCUUUUCCUUUGUCUGUUUAUCUAAACGCAGAUUCCCGGUCGGAAUAUUAUCGCUUUUUUAUGAGAAAAAUGGCAUAAAAAUUGAUUUUAAACAGCGGUUGACAUGCUUCGAAGUACGGUAAUGGAAUAUUUAGAAUUCUUUUGUCACGAAUUGCGCCAUGCUCGUCACCCUUAUUUAGCCUUUAGGAUAGUGUCUAGAACGCACGAACAAAACACCGCUGUUUGGAUAUAACAAUGGAUUAUUUUGGACCAAACCAACAUUUGUUAUUGAAGUAGAAGUCCUGGGAGUGCAUUCUGACGAAGACAACAAAGGACCUGAGCCCUAGGACCAUGCCUCAGGACUACCUGGUAUGAUGACUCCUUGCUCCCCCCGACACAUAAACUACUGCAGCAUAAAUACUGGAGGCUGAGACAGGAGGGAUCAG
rnacentral:lncRNA from 1 species